rnacentral:rRNA from 1 species
UACGGAGGAUGCAAGCGUUAUCCGGAAUUAUUGGGCGUAAAGCGUCCGUAGGUGGCUAAUCAAGUCUGCUGUCAAAGCGUGGAGCUUAACUCCAUAACGGCAGUGGAAACUGAUGAGCUAGAGUGCGAUAGGGGUAGCAGGAAUUCCCAGUGUAGCGGUGAAAUGCGUAGAGAUUGGGAAGAACACCAGCGGCGAAAGCGUGCUACUGGGUCUGCACUGACACUGAGGCACGAAAGCGUGGGGAGCGAACAGG